CCAACCGGUUCAGAAGGCGCUGCGGUUCAGUUUAGCCGUUCUCUCUUAGUUUCAGAGUUAGAAUCUGAGUUUACUUGUGGCAUUGAGGUUGUUUCUACUAUUGAGAAAGACACGCGGAACCGGGAUUUUGAUUGUCGAUUUCGGGUUGAGG